AUGACUGCCAAAUAGGUGGGCCGUUCUGAAGAGAUGAAGCAGCAGACACGCUGAGUCCAAAGGAAUCCUCCAGGAUCCCCACAGGACACCUUCAUGGUGUCUUUCUUCACUGAGAUGUGGUGGAAAGAGCACAAUGCAGAACAGCAGGUUUGCUUCUUCUGUUAGCAUAAGCAGAGAGGAGAAAAGGAGGCAGCUCCUCCAAAGAGACUGGCUAAAUCUUUUGACAGGAUUGCUGCAAUCUGACUACAAAGCUCCAACAAGCCUCGGCCUCAGGAAAAUUCAUCUCUGCCCUCCCAACACACCCUGAUGUUUCUGUCUCGCUGGCUUUGAUGGCAGACAGUCCCCUGUGAGUCCCUGACCUUCACACCAGGGGAGCUGGCUGGGAUUGUUCGGUGAAGCCAUGCAACAAUAUUCCUGUUCCCAGCCUGUCGCAGCACGCGAGCCUUUCUGUGAUGACACCGUCACAUUCAUUUUCUGCAAACGCCGGCCCCGUCUCUCCACAUCCUGCUCCCCACCAGUGUCUGGGUUGAAAACUUGGUGAAGGUGCAUUGGUUGGAUGAAACUGCAACAGUAGCUACAUG